AACGUAGGAGACAAACGUUAUCCGGAGUUACUGGGCGUAAAGGGCGUGUAGGUGGUUGCGUAAGUCUGGCGUGAAAUUUUUCGGCUUAACCGGGAAAGGUCAUCGGAUACUGCGUAGCUAGAGGACGGUAGAGGCGUGUGGAAUUCCGGGUGUAGUGGUGAAAUGCGUAGAGAUCCGGAGGAACACCAGUGGCGAAGGCGACACGCUGGGCCGUACCUGACACUGAUGCGCGACAGCAUGGGGAGCAAACAGG
rnacentral:rRNA from 1 species